rnacentral:rRNA from 1 species
UACGGGGGGGGCAAGCGUUGUUCGGAAUUACUGGGCGUAAAGGGCUCGUAGGUGGCCAACUAAGUCAGACGUGAAAUCCCUCGGCUUAACCGGGGAACUGCGUCUGAUACUGGAUGGCUUGAGUUCGGGAGAGGGAUGCGGAAUUCCAGGUGUAGCGGUGAAAUGCGUAGAUAUGCGGAGGAACACCGAUGGCGAAGGCAAUCCCCUGGGCCUGCACUGACGCUCAUGCACGAAAGCGUGGGGAGCAAACUGG